rnacentral:rRNA from 1 species
UACGUAGGGGGCAAGCGUUGUCCGGAUUUAUUGGGCGUAAAGAGCGUGUAGGCGGCUUUACAGGUCCGUUGUGAAAACUCGAGGCUCAACCUCGAGACGCCGGUGGAAACCGUAAAGCUAGAGUCCGGAAGAGGAGAGUGGAAUUCCUGGUGUAGCGGUGAAAUGCGCAGAUAUCAGGAAGAACACCCGUGGCGAAGGCGGCUCUCUGGGACGGUACUGACGCUGAGACGCGAAAGCGUGGGGAGUCAAACAGG